CCCUGCCAUUUGUACACACCGCCCGUCGCUACUACCGAUUGAAUGGUUAUAGUGAGCAUAUGGGAUCAGUAGGUUAGGACUGGCAACAGUCUUUUCCUGCAGAGAACUAUGGCAAACUAGGCUAUUUAGAGGAAGUAAAAGUCGUAACAAGG
rnacentral:rRNA from 1 species